AUGACCAUCAAAGUCAAGCAAGAGACAAUUCUCUCCGUCCAGGCUGCGUUAUCGGAAAUGGGUCUGAAAAUGAGUGACAUGAAGAACCACUACGAUCAAGAAAAAGCUAAAAUCAUACAAGAUCAUUUAAUGGAAUAUACACAGCAGAAACAAUUAAUUGCAGAUCUUGAGGGUAAAAUGGACAGAGAGCGAAACGAUUACAUCAAUUAUAUUAAUGAUUUAAACGGUCAAAUCUCAGAACUGCAAGAGGAAGAGAGCGCUGUGAAGUCCAAAUUAACCGAAAAGGAGGCUGUCGCUGCAGAAAUUGAGAAGAAAAUGAAGGAGAAAGAAGCUGAGAUUUCAGCUUUAAUUGCAGAAAAAACCCAGUUAAAAAACGAACUAGCUGAAUUAUUAAGUGCAAAAGAAACUAUUGAGAAACCGCUUGAAGCCCUUGAGGCGGAGCUGAAAUCAAAGGAAGAAGAAGUAUCGGCAUUGCAAGAACAAGUAUCAUAUCUGGAACAACAGAUGCAUCAUAUGAAAAUCGAAAAAGAAAAAAUAAUGAUAGACAAUGCAAAUACUAUGCUGGAACUUUCUUUGAAAAAUGAAGAGCGUUUACAAACGACAAGAGAAGCUUUUGAGAAUCGCCUACGAGCACUUCAGUCCAACCUAGCUGAGGAUGAGAACAACUAUAGAGGUCUUCAAACUUGGCUUGCGGAUCGCUUAGAGUCUCUUCAAGAAAACCUUGUUUCAGAGCUGAGCACUAUUGAAACCAAUAACCAAGCGAAACUCGACGAAUUAGCCGGUUCAUACAGCGGAAUUGAAAGCAAAAUAAAAACUGUCAGAGGCACCCUUCACAGCAGAAUCAGCAAGUACGCUGCUGAAUCAGAGAGCAAGUAUAAUCAGAUAGUUGACAGAUUAGCUGGCAAGAAAAAAAAAGCGGAAGCUGAAAGAGAUGAUUUGAAAGAGAGAACUAAAAGCCAAGAAAUGAGCAUCAAAGAAUUAGAAAACAACUUAUUGAUGGCUAAGAAAGAGUGUAAAAGUCUGCAUGUAGCCUCAAAAAAUGCUCAGGCAGCGGUAGAAGCUCUCAGCUCACAUCUAGAACAAGCUGGGACACGUAUCGAAUCUCUGCAGGAAGAAAAGCAAAAGCUAGCAGAUUUAUUGAAGGAAAAAGAAUUGGCAUACGAGAAACUCGAAAAAUGUAUGAAUGAGCUUGAAAUCGCAUUAAUAGAGGAAACGAAACUCAUCCAUGAUAGAUUACUCAACGAGGUUGAAAAGUUUAAGCAAAUGGCAAAAGCUCAAAAAGAAAUGUACGAAGAAAAAUUAGACGAGUCAUUCAAGCGCCAGUUAACCCUAGAAGAAAAAUUAGACGAGUCAUCAAAGCGCCAGUUAACCCUAGAAGACCAAAUUAAUGAAUCUGAAGUUGUCGUUAACAGUCAGAGCUUAGAGAUUCAAAUUUUGAAAUCCAAAUUAGAAAACGAAGAUGGAGAAAACGCCGAACUCAAAGAGAUUUUAAGAAAAAUAACCCUGAAAGUCAGUGAAUUUUGCUCCAAUCAGAACGAGGACAUUAAUGAAAGCGAAACUGUGAUCUGUGAUCAUUUAGAAAGAUGUUUAGAAAAUGCCAAAAAUAAUGUAGCAAUUAUCGAACAGUUGAAUUCGUCACUUGCAGAGAGAGAAGCAACCAUCCAAGAGCUAGAGGCCAGCAAGAAAGAACUGAAUGAAAAAUUCGAAAGCUUGGAGAAUAACUCUAAUCAUCUCCUCUUACGGAACGGAGAACACCUUGAACAGUUCGCAAAGUUAAAAGAAGAUGUGGAGUCUGCCCAAAAAAGAAUCGACUGUCUCACCGCGGAGAAAGACUGCUUAAACAGCCGACUGUCUGGACUGAAAGUUGAGAUUGAGUCGCUUAAUAAUUCAAAUCUAGAUAAAGAUAGAACCAACCAAGCGUUAGCAAAAGAGCUCAGUUUGAAAGAUGAUACGAUAGAAAUCAUGUCCAGGGAUCUUGCUCACUUGAACAGCACCCUACAGGUACAAGAAAAUUUAUUAUCAGAAGCGAACAAGAGCCUGGAAGAAAAACAAUGUGAAAUCGUUGAUCUUGAAGCUUCUAUCGAAUCAUACUAUUGUAAACUUAAGGAGAAAGAAGAUUUUAGCGAGCAAGUAGCUGAAAAGGAGCAACUCAUCAAAGAGCUGAUCAAAGAAAAGAGAGAACUAAUCAAAGAGAAAAAUCAAAUGAUGCAAGAUUAUGCAGAGAAAGUUGUGUAUUUGGAGAACUUGAAUUCCGAAUAUUUCGAGAAGUUGCAAGGACUGGAAUCUUCUUCGCAGUGUCUUGAAGAUGAGCUGAAGGCAGUUAGAACCUCAAACCAGCAAUUGAAAGAUGAAAAUGAGCGAGUGAUCAAACAGUUGGAAACAGUCCAGGAUGAGAAAGAAAGUCUGAAAGUUGUGGUUUCUCGCAGUAGCUGUAAUCUGAAAAUGAUGAGCGAGAAGUUGACAGAAUUCAACAAACUUGAAGGUAAAAUUGAAGAACUUGAAUCAACUCUGAAAGAAAGGAAUGAGAAAUUGGAGGAGCUCGACAAAAAUUUGGAGGCGUUAACAACGCGUAAAACUAUUACAAGCUAUGGGCAGCUGAUCUCCAAAAAGAACUUUCAACCCUAG
rnacentral:lncRNA from 1 species